GCACAAGCGGUGGAUGAUGUGGAUUAAUUCGAUGCAACGCGAAAACCUUACCUACCCUUGACAUGUCCGGAAUCCCGAAGAGAUUUGGGAGUGCUCGCAAGAGAACCGGAACACAGGUGCUGCAUGGCUGUCGUCAGCUCGUGUCGUGAGAUGUUGGGUUAAGUCCCGCAACGAGCGCAACCCUUGUCAUUAGUUGCCAUCAUUUGGUUGGGCACUCUAAUGAGACUGCCGGUGACAAACCGGAGGAAGGUGGGGAUGACGUCAAGUCCUCAUGGCCCUUAUGGGUAGGGCUUCACACGUCAUACAAUGGUCGGUACAGGGGGUUGCCAACCCGCGAGGGGGAGCUAAUCCCACAAAGCCGAUCGUAGUCCGGAUCGCAGUCUGCAACUCGACUGCGUGAAGUCGGAAUCGCUAGUAAUCGUGGAUCAGCAUGUCACGGUGAAUACGUUCCCGGGUCUU
rnacentral:rRNA from 1 species